rnacentral:rRNA from 1 species
UCCAGGCUGUAAACGAUGCGGACUAGGUGUCACCGGAGCUACGGGCUCCGGUGGUGCCGGAGGGAAGCCGUUAAGUCCGCCGCCUGGGAAGUACGGCCGCAAGGCUGAAACUUAAAGGAAUUGGCGGGUGAGCACCACAAGGGGUGGAGGCUGCGGUUUAAUUGGAUUCAACGCCGGGAAACUCACCGGGGGCGACAGCAGUAUGAAGGUCAGGCUGAUGACCUUACCAGACA